rnacentral:rRNA from 1 species
UACAGAGGUCUCAAGCGUUGUUCGGAUUCAUUGGGCGUAAAGGGUGCGUAGGCGGCGCGGUAAGUCGGGUGUGAAAUCUUGGAGCUUAACUCCGAAACUGCAUUCGAUACUGCCGUGCUUGAGGACUGGAGAGGAGACUGGAAUUUACGGUGUAGCGGUGAAAUGCGUAGAUAUCGUAAGGAAGACCAGUGGCGAAGGCGGGUCUCCUGGACAGUUCCUGACGCUGAAGCAACGAAGGCCAGGGGAGCAAACGGG